rnacentral:pre_miRNA from 11 species
CCUGCGCCGAAGUCACGGUAUUGUUGCUGCAGCUGGUGUUGUGAAUCAGGCCGACAAAAAGCGCAUCUUACUAUCCGGCUAUUUCACUACACCAGGGUUGCAUCAUACCACUUGCCACCCGCUCGGAC